AUUGAACGCUGGCGGCAGGCUUAACACAUGCAAGUCGAGCGGAGAUGAGGUGCUUGCACCUUAUCUUAGCGGCGGACGGGUGAGUAAUGCUUAGGAAUCUGCCUAUUAGUGGGGGACAACAUUCCGAAAGGAAUGCUAAUACCGCAUACGUCCUACGGGAGAAAGCAGGGGAUCUUCGGACCUUGCGCUAAUAGAUGAGCCUAAGUCGGAUUAGCUAGUUGGUGGGGUAAAGGCCUACCAAGGCGACGAUCUGUAGCGGGUCUGAGAGGAUGAUCCGCCACACUGGGACUGGGACACGGCCCAGACUCCUACGGGAGGCAGCAGUGGGGAAUAUUGGACAAUGGGGGGAACGCUGAUCCAGUCAUGCCGCGUGUGUGAAGAAGGCCUUAUGGUUGUAAAGCACUUUAAGCGAGGAGGAGGCUACUGAGACUAAUACUCUUGGAUAGUGGACGUUACUCACAGAAUAAGCACCGGCUAACUCUGUGCCAGCCGCCGCUGUAAUAC
rnacentral:rRNA from 1 species